ensembl:lncRNA
AUGGCCCCAAAAGUGCAAAAAAGGAACCCAAAGUCCCAUAGAAUGGACUCCAAACCCCAUAGAAUGACCCCAAAAUCCCACAGAAUGGGCCCCAAAAUCCCACAGAAUGGCCCCAAAAUCCUAUGGAUUUCAAAAUCCCACAAAAUGGACCCAAAAUCCCACAAAAUGGCCCCAAAAGUGCAAAAAAGGAACCCAAAGUCCCAUAGAAUGGACCCCAAACCCCAUAGAAUGACCCCAAAAUCCCACAAAAUGGACCCAAAAACCCACAGAACGGACCCAAAACCCCAUGGAUCGACUUCAAAAUCCCAUAGAAAGGCCCCAAAAUCCCACAAAAUGGCCCCAAAACCCUAUGGGCUGACUUCAAAAUCCCACAGAAUGGACCCAAAAUCCCAUAAAAUGGACCCAAAACCCCAUGGAUUGACUUCAAAAUCCCACAAAAUGGCCCCAAAAUCCCACAGAAUGGCCCCAAAAUCCCACAGAAUGGCCCCAAAAUCCCACAGAAUGGCCCCAAAACCCUAUGGGCUGACUUCAAAAUCCCAUAGAAUGGCCCCAAAAUCCCAUAAAAUGCCCCAAAAACCCAUAAAAUGGCCCCAAAAUCCUACAGACUUCAUAAUCCCACAAAAUACCCCAAAAUCCCAUAGAAUGGACCCCAAAUCUCACAGAACGACCCCAAAAUCCCACAAAAUGGCCCCAAAACCCCAUGGAUUGACUUCAAAAUCCCACAGAAUGGCCCCAAAAUCCCAUAAAAUGGCCCCAAAAUCCUACGGGCUGACUUCAAAAUCCCAUAGAAUGACCCCAAAUCCCAUAAAAAGGCCCCGAAAUCCCACAGAAUGGCCCCGAAAUCCUAUGGGCUGACUUCAAAAUCCCACAGAAUGGCCCCAAAAUCCCAUAAAAUGCCCCAAAAUCCCACAGACUUCAAAAUCCCAUAGAAUGGCCCCAAAAUCCCAUAGAAUGGACCCCAACUCUCACAGAACGACCCCAAAAUCCCACAAAAUGGGCCCAAAAUCCUAUGGACUGGCUUCAAAAUCCCACAAAAUGGACCCAAAAACCCACAGAACGGACCCAAAACCCCAUGGAUCGACUUCAAAAUCCCACAGAAUGGACCCAAAAUCCUAUGGGCUGACUUCAAAAUCCCAUAGAAUGCCCCAAAAUCCCAUAAAAAGACCCCAACUCUCACAGAACGACCCCAAAAUCCUAAAAAAUGGGCCCAAAAUCCUAUGGACUGGCUUCAAAAUCCCACAAAAAGGACCAAAAAACCAAAGAACGGACCCAAAACCCCAUGGAUCGACUUCAAAAUCCCACAGAAUGGCCCCAAAAAUCCCAUAAAAAGGCCCCGAAAUCCCAAGGACUUCAAAAUCCCAUACAAUGCCCCAAAAUCCCACAAAAUGGGCCCAAAAUCCCACAAAACGGCCCCAAAAUGGGCCCCAAAUGCAUAAAAGGGACCUGAAAUCCCACAGAACAGACCCCAUAAACCCUCAGGCCACCUCCUAACAGGACUUAAUUAACGGCUCAUUAAUGACCAAUUAAUUAAUUACCCACUUAUAAGUAGAGCUCUGGCCAUACUGCAGGCUGGGGGUGGUGCAGGCUGACGGAUUUGACCCCAUAAAUCCCCCCCAAACCACCCCAUAACCCCCCCAAACCACCCCAUAACACCCCUCUGAGACCCUUUAGGGCUUAAUUAACAACUCAUUAAUGACUAAUUAACUAACGACCCACCUGUAAGAAGAUUUCCAGCCAUACUGCAGGCUGGGGGUGGUGCAGGCUGACGGAUUUNNNNNNNNNNNNNNNNNNNNNNNNNNNNNNNNNNNNNNNNNNNNNNNNNNNNNNNNNNNNNNNNNNNNNNNNNNNNNNNNNN